rnacentral:lncRNA from 1 species
GUCCCUAAUCAAAUGGCAAAUCAAAGGAUAAAACACAUCAAACGAAUGGACAACAACUGUCAUAUUCCUGACUUGGUACAGGCAUUUUCAAAUGUAGAAAAUGGUGGAUUGAACCUUAUUUUAUAUCGCUAAACCUCUCACUUGUACGACAGUUGCAUCAAAUUUAAUAACAUUGACAAUGAUGCAUGAACAAAACAAAAGACACA